rnacentral:rRNA from 1 species
UACGUAGGGUGCAAGCGUUGUCCGGAAUUAUUGGGCGUAAAGAGCUCGUAGGCGGUCUGUCGCGUCGGCUGUGAAAACUCGGGGCUCAACCCCGAGCCUGCAGUCGAUACGGGCAGACUAGAGUGCGGUAGGGGAGACUGGAAUUCCUGGUGUAGCGGUGAAAUGCGCAGAUAUCAGGAGGAACACCGGUGGCGAAGGCGGGUCUCUGGGCCGUAACUGACGCUGAGACGCGAAAGCGUGGGGAGCAAACAGG